rnacentral:rRNA from 1 species
GACGAACGCUGGCGGCGUGGAUUAGGCAUGCAAGUCGAACGGUAGGAUACCUUCGGGUAUCUGAGAGUGGCGAACGGGUGAGUAACACGUAGGUGAUCUACCCUCAAGAUUGGGACAACCCAGGGAAACUUGGGCUAAUACCGGAUGAAAGCAGCAGUGAUGUUGUUUGAAAGGUGGCGUAAGCUGCCGUUUGGGGAUGAGCCUGCGCUCUAUUAGUUAGUUGGCGGGGUAAAAGGCCCACCAAGGCGAUGAUAGAUAGGCGGCCUUAACGGGUGGUCGCCCACACUGGGAUUGAGAUACGGCCCAGACUCCUACGGGAGGCAGCAGUCGAGAAUAGUCUACAAUGGCCGAAAGGCUGAUAGUGCGACGCCGCGUGAACGAAGAAGCCCUUCGGGUGUAAAGUCUUUUAUAUGUGAGCAGUGCUUCUAUGUGAACAAGCAUGGGGAGAGAGAUAUUAAGCAUAAUGAAUAAAGACAACGGCUAAACUCCGUGGCCAGCC